rnacentral:rRNA from 1 species
GACGAACGCUGGCGGCGUGCCUAAUACAUGCAAGUCGAACGCAGUGGGGACGGGUGAGGAACACGUGGGUAACCUGCCAUCAGAGGGGAUAACACUUGGAAACAGGUGCUAAACCGAGACUGAUGGAUGGAACCGCGGGGGAUUAGCUAGUUGGUGAGGUAACGGCUCACCAAGGCCACGAUGCAUAGCCGACCUGAGAGGAUGAUCGGCCACACUGGGACUGAGACACGGCCCAGACUCCUACGGGAGGCAGCAGUAGGGAAUAUUGCACAAUGGGCGCAAGCCUGAUGCAGCCAUGCCGCGUGUAUGAAGAAGGCCUUCGGGUUGUAAAGUACUUUCAGCGGGGAGGCGUUACCCGCAGAAGAAGCACCGGCUAACUCCGUGCCAGCAGCCGCGGUAAUAC